GGCAUGGAGGGGCACUCCAUACCUCCUGAACACCUAGCCGCCCUGCCCAUCCAGAGGCACAGCUGAACGUCUUUCCAGGGCACCUGCCAGCCACGCCCGGUCAGUCCGUGUACCUGGUGGGCCUCUGGCAGGCUCCGGGACUAGUGACGCCUCCGAGGGGCGAGUCAGGGCCAGGAGCUGCACAGCUCAGUGUCGUAUAAGGAGGAACAAUUCGGGGCCAACACACGUCUGUCCGGGGCUGAGCAGCUACGCCGAUGAGGAAGUGGUUACAAUUUACUCAGAUGUUCCUGAAGGCUGACAGCUGGACUUCUGCCCAAAGGCCCGAGUGCUUGGCGACCAUGAGAAGCGGGCACCGAGCACAGGAUAAACGGUCCCUUCUUCCACCUGGACCCCGGGCUCCGGUCCCGCGCGGCCUUCGUCUCUGGACUCGUCGGAGUCCCUGGGAAGGGACUCCCGGGGACAAGCGUCUCUCCCAGCCCGCAGGAGAACCCCGUGCCGCGUGGUGCUGAGGCGCCGGGCACUUGGGGCGCGGGGACACCCGGAAAAUGGGAGAGUAACACCACCAGCAGGUGUGCACGAGGGUGUGGAAAGGUGUCUGCCCUGCCCCUCCCCCCACGCCCUGCGUCCUCAGCUCAAACAGGAUCCUCUGCAAACACCUGGUUCUGUGUCCCCAAAGGCACCUUCUGCAGCUGGGUGUCCGCUUUAUCAAGCUUAAACCCUUUUAUACCCCUAAAUGCAUUUUAUUUUUAUUUUGUAAGGUUCAUGAUUUUUUUAGUAAUCUCUACACCCGAUGUGGGUCUCAAACCCAUGACUCCAAGAUUAAGAGUCACACGCUCCUCUGGCUGAGCCGGCCAGGUGCCCCUGCCUAAAUGCAUUUUAAAAUGCUGCAAAUAGAGGGGUGCCUGGGUGGCUUGUUCAGUUGAGCAUCCGACUUUGGCUCGGGUCAUGAUCUCGUGGUCUGUGGGUUCGAGCCCCGCGUCGGGCUGUGUGCCGACAGCUCAGAGCCUGGAACCUGCUUCGGAUUCUGUGUCCCCCUCUGUCUCUGCCCCUCCCCCACUUGCACUCUAUCUUCCUCUCUCCCUCUGAAAACUCAACGUUAAAAAAUGUUUUAAUUUCCUACAAACAAAAUCCUCUAUACGGACUCAUUUGCGUCUGGCUUCUUCCAUCCGGUGUUAGGAUUUUGAGGUUCAUCCGUGUUACUUGAACUUGACUAGUUUGUCCCUGUUUCAUCGCUGAGCAGUAUUUCAUUUUAUUUACACUUGGUGCUGUCUCUCCAGGUCCGAGCCGACGAACAUUUGGGGGCUGUGUCAGCGCUGCUGUGGACAAAGUGGACAAUCGUGCACAAAUCUUAGUGUACGUAGAAGUUUCCAGUCCCCUCGGUCACCACCUAGCGGCGGCAUGGAGGACGCACGCGGGAGGCAUGUAUCCGAGUUCAUGAGGGACAAGACGGCUUUCCCGAGUGGCGGUGCCGGCCUGCAUUCCCGCCCGCAGCGCGGGAGCUGGUGUCUUGGUGUGUCAGUAAAAAUACCUGCCAACCUCGUACAGCAUGUGAACUGAUGUGGAUGACAUCACAGAACGCCUCCUCUGCUGGAAAGCCCCAGAGACACGGGGGGCUGGGGGCAGAGAGCGGGAGCACAGAGAAAAUGCCCCUUGCCCAAAGGCGUGGCGGGGUCCGGGCACAGGCCUCCAGGGAGAUGGACCCCACUCUGGACCCCCAUCCGACUCCCGUGGGGCUCCUGAUGGACACGAGGCCCUGGAAACGCCGAGCGAGGCCCCUCGCUGAGGACUCUGACCUCCGGCCGGUUGGGACAGACCGGCUGGGGGGUUUCUGGCUUCCUCGUUUAUGGACGCAGGCUCCGGGCUCUGUCUAGGCCGGGGCUUAUGUUGGCCGACACGGACUCCUGCUCCACCGCGGGUAAGGCCCACGCUAUCCCUUCCCCUCCCUGGGUCCAAGCUUGCUCAUCUGUAAAAUGGGGCAGCUGCCGCUUACUCUCAGCAGGACCAAACGAUGAAGGAAGUCGGGCCUCCUGCUCCCGCCCACCCCGCCCUGCAGUCCCUGCACUCAGCCAGACCUGCUCCUGGCCCUCCCUCCCUCCUUCCAGGAAGCCGGAAGGGCAGCCAAACCCACAGAGGAGUUCGCAGCCUCUGGCUCAGGCUCGGCCCUGUGGAACCAACAGCCCUUUGUCUCCUCCUGGGGACCUUUCCAGAGAGGACUUAGCCCUUUGUCUGCCCCAAGGCCACCUCCGCCCCCUCCCCUGGCAUCACAACAGCCCUAGGAGUCUCUCCGGGCCUCUCCAGGCUGCCCCUCACCCCUGCAACAUCCCUCAGCAGGGAGCGCCAUGGGCCCUGAGCUCUGGGUGGCGGCUGCGGUGGG